CCGAUGUUGGCGCAGUGGGAGAGCACUCGCCUGUUAAGUCGGGAUCCGUUGGUUCGAGCCCUGCCAUAGAAGUCUGGG
rnacentral:tRNA from 1 species